CUCUCCAUCCUCACCAUGCGUAUAGGAGUGCUGGUCAGGUCCCUCUCUGUGACCAGUCGGUCCUGGUCUGUGACGUACAGUCCCUUCUGUGCCAGGGCCUGGAUGACGGCGUUGUGUCCCAGCAGAGGUUUGACGGCAUCGCUGCGGAGGAUGAGGCUCCCCGCCCGGCAGUAGAGCUCUGCAGACAGCAGUAGGGACGCCACGGGGGGCUUCAGGUGCUCCUGGCUGUACUGGUCCCUGUAGAAGGGGUCAGCCAGCUCCUCAGGGACCACAUCUUUGGAGGGAGAGAGGAAGGGACGGGUUAGUUUGAGGACACGAUGUACAUAGUAAGACUCCAGCUCCUCUGGGAGAGCAUCUAGGGAGGGAGAGGAGGGUUUAGUGUGAGGAUAGAUAGCACCUUUUUUGUAGGUGCUAUCUAAAACCUAAAAGGGUUCCUUGGCUGUCCCCAUAGGAGAACCCUUUGAAGAACCCUUUUUGAUUACAGGUAGAACCCUUUUGGAGUGUAGGCUACAUAACUGACAGCUCCUCUGGGACUGUGUCUGUAGAUGGAGAGAGGAACAGGUUAGUUUGGUCACACAAUAACUGACACUACAGUCAACUCCUCUAGGACUGUGUCUCUUGAUGAAGAGUGGGCCACUUAGACAGUCUCUGUGAGGUGUGUAGGACAGGUCCAAGCCCUGGGCCACUUAGACAGUCUCUGUGAGGUGUGUAGGACAGGUCCAAGCCCUGGGCCACUUAGACAGUCUCUGUGAGGUGUGUAGGACAGGUCCAAGCCCUGGGCCACUUAGACAGUCUCUGUGAGGUGUGUAGGACAGGUCCAAGCCCUGGGCCACUUAGACAGUCUCUGUGAGGUGUGUAGGACAGGCCCUGGGCCACUUAGACAGUCUCUGUGAGGUGUGUAGGACAGGCCCAGGCCCUGGGACACUUAGACAGUCUCUGUGAGGUGUGUAGGACAGGUCCAUGCCCUGGGCCACUUAGACAGUCUCUGUGAGGUGUGUAGGACAGGUCCAUGCCCUGGGCCACUUAGACAGUCUCUGUGAGGUGUGUAGGACAGGCCCAGGCCCUG
rnacentral:lncRNA from 1 species